AGUAGAGUAAACAUUGCGCGUAAAGUGCUUCAGGAUGGGAAGUUGCCUGUUGACGAAGGAAACCGCGAAAUAUUUCCACGAUGUAAUGUUGCGUCCGCUACU
rfam:Blautia sp. CAG:52 genomic scaffold, scf112